ACUUGUAGCUGUGGGUUUGCUGCGAUUUCUCCCCUCUCUCAAACUCCCUCCUCCUUUCUCUCCCUCUCUAACCCCACCUCUCCUUCCACUCCCUCCUCUUUCUACCUCUCUCUCUCCUCCUUUCUCUCUCUCACACACACAUCACACCACUCGCACACUCUCUCAGUCUCUCCUCUCUCUGUCACUCUCUCCCAUCCCUCUCUCUUUCCCAUGUCUCUCUCUGUCUCUCUCUGCCUCUCGCUCUCUAGCUGUAAGUUCAUUCGCUGUGGCGAGCAACAACUGUGCAAAGAGGAGGUUUGAUCCUGUUGUUGAGCAUCGUCCCUCCCUGAGAGGCUGCUGCUGCUGAUGCUGCUGCUACUGCAGCCUCAUCCACCUGCACAACCCCAUGGCUGGCUGGCUGGCUGGCCGACUGGCUGACACGUUAGGCGCUACUGCUACACGCUGGGACUGUGAGGGGGCUGCCUGCGCAUGGGGAACACCUGCCUGUGAACAAACGCUGCUGGUCGACGCGCAGGCUACUAACCCCAUUGCAAUCCACCACUCUCCACUGUGGACAACACAAAAACAAGGUGAUAUACCUUACAAUCACGGCAUGUCUUCUCUGAGGCAGGGGAUCAGACACCAGCCUGGCUAGUAGCUCUGUGGAAGGCUGUGCCUGGACCAACACUCACAGGGUAAGAGCUUCAACACAAGUGGAUAUGCCACAAUUCCCUCUUCUUCUUUUUUCAUCCCAAAAAGAAGUAAAAAUUGUGAUCAAUUUUUAUUUUCUUGUUUUUUUUUGGUGCAGACAUGUUUUUUUCUCUCUGCUGUAUACUGACCAACAGUGUACAAAAUUGUUGUACAUACAAAAGGAGUUUGGUGUUCAUUUUUCUUGGUGUUUGUUUUUUUGUGUGCUUUGUCGUCCCGUUGUGUGUAUUGGUGUGUUUGACUGUCUGGUGGCUUUCUUUUUUUCAUUGGAUUCGUCUCGUGUGGUGUGAGGUAUUACCAUAUUCAUGGGACUCCCGCAAUUAAAUUGCAAUCAGAAAAAGGGUCCAGCAAGUAAGGGGGGUUUCAUCUGGCGGAGGCGCGAGGCAAGAGCCUCUCAGACCGAAGAGGACGAGGAGGAGGGAGGUGAGGAGGAGUGAGGAAGAGAAUACAGAUUCAUCCAGAGAUACUCCGGCCGACCACAGCAGAAAAAAUAAUCUGCACAGAUUUUCACUCUUCUUCUCCCUCUGCUCUCCUACUCAUCUUUUCAUCUCUGCCUGCAACGUGUGGGGGUCUAAGUACAGUGGUAUACAUCUGAGGUUUCAUUAUGUGUGGAUAUGCUGGUGUGGAGUGAGAGCGAAAGAGAGAGAGAGCAGGACAGGGCUAAAAUGGACAUCUCUUCCUCCUUAUGGAUCGCUCCUGGAGGACAGGACCACCAGGACUUCCAAGGAGGGCAGGGCUUCAGACCACCUCUGGCCCAGAAAAACCUUUGAAGGGGCUUUGUGUUGUGCUUCAAGGCGUCUUCAAUCAAUUAUGUUGAUACAGUGUCUUUCUCUGUGUUGCUUUCCAUUGGGAUCGACUGAGGAAUUUGACGAUGCGGUCACGCUUGCUUGCGAUUCCCAUUAUUGCCUCUGUGUUUAAGAUUCUCUUCGGUGACGGGUAUUCUUGGGUGUAUAAUACGGAUCACGUUGUUAUUGCUUAAGAAUACGCGUAGUCGAGGAGAGUCCUCUUCUUCUUCUUCGUCUGUCUUCGUCUGCAGCUGAGGACUAUUGAUCAGAUCGAAGCACCCCCCUACCUGUUUCCUUUUAAUACUGAGGAGUUGGCACACAGAAACACAAACCGUAGAGACUGACUGACAUCCAGGCCCAUUUAUCAAGCAAUGAGACAGAGCACUGCCGGCUGCCUAUCUGUUUCAGUGAUGAUUGUGCUGUCCAGUCUUGAGAUAGUGUCGACCAACCACUCUCGUCUGCAUUUUUUUUUUUUUACCCCCCCCCCCCCCCCCCCCCCACCCUUUUCAUAAUUUUUAUACUGUGAUGUUGUUGUUUUGUCACAGAUGUUUCAGAUGUCACAUGUUUAUUUGACCAUUAUCAUGUCCAGUAUAUGAAAGUGUAUUUGGAUAUAUUCAUGCUGCAUUAUGUAUUUGUAUUGUGUGGUAGAUAUGCUACAGUGAGUGUGUAUUUCAUAGGCUUCUGAUACAACAGGAUAGUGUUGUUGUGCAGUUAUAGCAGAGGUUAGACUGCAUGGCCCUGGUCCUCUCUCAUGCAAAUCUCUCGAGUCUAUUUAUUAUCAGUCGUCCAGACCAAGCACUCUUUUCCUCCUUCUCCUUUUUUAUGCAAAUUGAUUUUGAAAUGACAUUUAUCGCGUUGGGUUUUCCACACGAAAGAGCUGCCACACCGGAGCCCAGACAACAAAAUGUCCACCGCUCUAGCGAGAGCUCAAUUUAUGCAUUGGAGGAGAGUGGGUCUCGAUAACAAUUACCACAGGCUCAAAUGGACCAUAACCGGGUUUUCCGUGUUAUCAUAUGUAUAGUAUAUGCCAUGAAUAUGUAUCAGUCAGUCCCCCUGGUUGGAUGCAGGGUGCAUUCUGAACCCUAACACCCAUGUAAAAUCCAUUUAAACACCAUAGUAGGAACAAGUUAACUUAUAGAGCCACACUCAAAAUUCCCCCCCAGAAAAAAAAUGUUGUCCAUUAAAUGUCAUAAAAGACUAAAUGUAUGGUAUUUAUAUUUAAAUCUAUAUAUAUAUUUUUUUUUACAAGCAUUCUUUGUCUUUUAAGAAUAAUGAAAAAAAUCAACAGCUAUACAAAAGGUCUUGAUUACUAUCAUACAAAUUAAUUAAACUAGCUGUACUAAUACCAUUUCAGAUAUUUAAAAGUACACAAUUAUAUGUUAACUGCUUGGCUCGCUUGAUAAGUAUUAAUCUAUUUAUAAUGAUAGAAAUCCCACUGAAUCUUUGUUUGAAUCGGUAGGAAAAUGAAAUAAACACCAGAAGCUUGGUUGACCCCAUAUUUCACCACUAUGGAAACUACAUAUCUGAUAAAGAUCCUAUCAGAAUGUACUUUGUAUUUCACCUUCUGUAGUGGAUCUAAACGAUUUCCAAAAAUACAUCUACAUGGAGAAAGAGAGGGUGGUAGACAUAUGUCUAAUAUGUUGUGCUUCAAUGAAUCUCUGUAUUUUCUGUUUUGAAACAAACCAGGCCCUUGCUGCUGACACGAUCUUUACCUAACCAUGAUCACGUGGUCCUGAUCAAUUCAGCUGCUGAACCAUUCUUUACCUAUGCCUGCUUUUGGGAUUUUCUCUUGUCACGUUUACAUGAUAUUACUAGUAGACAAUGUCAAUUAUCCUGAUAGACAGUAAGAAUGUCAUAGCCAAUAGUCAAAUGUAUAGAUUCAGUGAAUUGAGCAUGAACUUUAUUGAACACAUCUUCAUUUACAAGAAUAGUAUUAUAAAUUGAUCCAUUUUAUUUUUCAUAUAUUCUAGCAAUGUUCUGCUUUCCUACAAAGUAUACUUGCAUACAAAUAUGACGUUUAUACAUCUUUAAGAAUUACUACAUUUGUUGUUAUAACAAAUUAUUAACAUCCUUUAAAUUCACUAAAUAUGUUACAGUAAUAUACAUUGGAAAUCCAAUGACAUUAAACCCAAUAUCUAUCUGAUAGUUUACAUUAUUUCCUUUUUAAUUUAGAUGUGUUUAAUUCAUAGCAUAUCAUUAUUUUAGUGAUAAUGUAUUACACAAACACAGCUGCAAUGUAAACGACAAUGCCAAUGACCCAUGUAUUGUAAAAGUGUCUUAUUCUAUAAAUAAAAUUUCACAAAAGAUACACAA